UGGUUUUAGAAAUUUAUUUUUAUUCAAACUUAUCUGAUAAUUUCAAAAUAAUAUUAAAUUUUAUUUUUAUAAAUUUUAUUAAUUUUUAAAUCACCCAGCGUGCUUAUCGACUUGCAUAAAUCCAUGUGGUUCGAUGAUGAUUUGAUCGGUAAGUUUUGCGUCGGCGGUGCAAGAGUAUUUAGAGAUCUCCAUCCGAUGACCUUAGAUUAAGGUUUUCUAU
rnacentral:lncRNA from 1 species